UGAGAGAGAAGAGAGAGAAAAC
rnacentral:sRNA from 1 species